AGUGUGAAACUUUUGCAAAAGUCACUUCAUCCUAGAGAAACAACUGUACUCUUGCAUCUUCAUAUCUAUUUUCCAAUUUCUUUACACACAACAUAUCCAUUUUCACUUUGCCAUUAUCUCUCUUCAUCUUGUUUUUUUUAAGUGUUGCUACAAUUUAAGGUUUAGUCAGAGCUUUAUGCUUAUUAUGGAGAAGAAGGAAAAAAUAAUGGAAGAACUUCUUCAGUAUUAGUGUAUAAAGAAAGAAUCUGAUUUAAAUCAGAAUCCUCUUCGUCUGAAGGUCAGAUAAAGUCUAUAACACUGUCUCUAUAAAUUCUCCUUUAUUGCAUGUACUUUUGAUUGAGGUCCAGUGGCAUUUUCUAUGUGGCCUCCGCUAUUUAUGAUAUGAGGUGUUCUGUCAAGCAGAUUUCUGUGUGAUGCACUAAAAGAUGUUGCAGACUAUGUGGCCGGUGACGUAAAAGAUAUGUCGGCAGCUAGCCAACUCCGCUUUGGAGUGAACCAAAAAAGUUUGGGUAGAGCCGAAUCUAAGCGUUGACUAGAUAAGCGUCUUGUAGUAAGAGGAGUAGUUAUGAACCAUGGAAGUAAAUCAUCACACAUAUGACCCAACCAAUUGAAAGAAAAUCAAUAGAUUCCUUUUCGCGAGUGAUUCAUUUAUUCUUAUUUGCAUUAUUCAGCCAAAUUGCCUCCGGAUCUUUGGAUGGGAUACGUAUGAUGCUUGAGGUGCUUGACGAAUCCUUAGUGCUAUUAAAAGAUGCUACAUGGGUGAAGAUUAUCAUUAAGGAGGGACAAAGGACUUUGACGAGGUCGAAGGAGUGCAAAACGAGGCUCGAAAGUCCUUGGAAGGGACAUGCUCCCAAGGCUCUUUGGAUCCGCCUUUGAUCCGCUCUAGCAUUUCACGAGCGGGUCAAAACAACCCCUAGUGGGUCUUUUCUUGCAUUUUGGGUUACUUUUGGGCCUUAAUGUAAUAAGCUUAGUCUUGGACUAUAAAUAGAUAACUUUAGGUCUUUCUUCCCUAGCUUGUUUUUUAUUAUGAUGAUGAAUUCAUGAAAACUCCAUUGGGAGGGUGUUGAGUGCUUGGAAAAGCAUUUGUUUACAAUUGUUUAGAAACGGUGGUUGUAAGGGAUAUUCGAUCCCCCUUUCGGUCAACGUAAGAGAUUUAGGUACUUUGCUUGGUUUAUUAAUUGAGGAUUAAGGGUUUAACUACCCUUUGUUUGCUUUCAGUUCCAUUUAUUGUGUCAAUCUACCUAUCUUUCUAUCA